AACCCUGGUGGCGAGUGGCGAACGGGUGAGUAAUACAUCGGAACGUGUCCUGUAGUGGGGGAUAGCCCGGCGAAAGCCGGAUUAAUACCGCAUACGACCUAAGGGAGAAAGCGGGGGAUCUUCGGACCUCGCGCUAUAGGGGCGGCCGAUGGCAGAUUAGCUAGUUGGUGGGGUAAAGGCCUACCAAGGCGACGAUCUGUAGCUGGUCUGAGAGGACGACCAGCCACACUGGGACUGAGACACGGCCCAGACUCCUACGGGAGGCAGCAGUGGGGAAUUUUGGACAAUGGGGGCAACCCUGAUCCAGCAAUGCCGCGUGUGUGAAGAAGGCCUUCGGGUUGUAAAGCACUUUUGUCCGGAAAGAAAACUUCGUCCCUAAUAUGGAUGGAGGAUGACGGUACCGGAAGAAUAAGCACCGGCUAACUACGUGCCAGCAGCCGCGGUAAUACGUAGGGUGCGAGCGUUAAUCGGAAUUACUGGGCGUAAAGCGUGCGCAGGCGGUCUGUUAAGACCGAUGUGAAAUCCCCGGGCUUAACCUGGGAACUGCAUUGGUGACUGGCAGGCUUUGAGUGUGGCAGAGGGAGGUAGAAUUCCACGUGUAGCAGUGAAAUGCGUA
rnacentral:rRNA from 1 species